rnacentral:rRNA from 1 species
CCUACGGGUGGCUGCAGUGAGGAAUAUUGGUCAAUGGGCGGAAGCCUGAACCAGCCAAGUAGCGUGCAGGAUGACGGCCCUACGGGUUGUAAACCUCUUUUGUCGGGGAGCAAAGCGAACCACGUGUGGUUCAUUGAGCGUACCCGAAGAAAAAGCAUCGGCUAACUCCGUGCCAGCAGCCGCGGUAAUACGGAGGAUGCGAGCGUUAUCCGGAUUUAUUGGGUUUAAAGGGUGCGCAGGCGGAGGUGCAAGUCAGCGGUCAAAUUGCGGGGCUCAACCCCGUACUGCCGUUGAAACUGCAGCCCUUGAGUGCGCGAGAAGUAUGCGGAAUACGUGGUGUAGCGGUGAAAUGCAUAGAUAUCACGCAGAACUCCGAUUGCGAAGGCAGCAUACCGGCGCGCAACUGACGCUCAUGCACGAAAGCGUGGGUAUCGAACAGGAUUAGAUACCCCUGUAGUC